UGAUGGUGGCACAGAGGGUACGCCAAAAAUGCUGCUUGCAGCUUUAAUUUUCCACUUUCUUUGCCGUAUAAACAAAUGUUCCCAUACACCUUUGACUUAAAACUGAAUUGAGAAGGAGAAAGAAAAGGGAAAAUAGAAGAAGAGAGAGGGGAAAGUAGAAAGUGAGGGAAGUAGAGAGACAGAGAAAAAAAAAGAUAGCAAGUACAUUUCACAUUUACGGGAGAGUUUGUGCCGAAUGCAGUAAAGAGGAAUAUGAAACGUUACAAAGAAACUCAUAAUGAACCAGCCGGCAAAGAAAGGAGAAAUGGAACACUGAAGAACCAGCCGGCAAAGAACGGAGAAAUGGAACACUGAAGUUGCAAGGCAAUCACUUUUCAUUGCCUGCAGUUCUUUUUUUUCUUUGCAGGGAUUCUAAACCAAUGUGUGAAACUGGAACUAGGGCAUGUUCUAAGAUGUUUCACUGCACUCAUCUAUUUUAGUGCAACCCAAAAGAUCUUCCAAUUACUACGAAGAGAUUAGAUUAAUUCACAGAUUCUUCUGGUAUGUUCACCAUUUGAUCACAAAGAUAAAAGAGAUAAACCUUGAAUGAAGCCACAUUCUGGUGUCAGAAAUAAUUUAGGAAACAAUGUUUGCCUCUUUGAUAAUGCACUUUAGACAGAAUCCCACUAAAAUGUGUUUAACCAUGUAUUAGAAAAUAAAUGUAAAUGCAUGUUAUUAUGUCAUGGUGUUAAAGCCAGCUCUUCCAGUAUCACCGCCACCGCCAGCAUUUUUAUCAUCAAGGUAAUAAAAUAACAGUUUACAUAAAGUGUGUCAAUCCCCUUUGACUGAAAUGAAAGCAAAGCCAAUCAGGGGAAGGCUGGGGACUUUCAAUCUUACAAAGACAAUUUAUGUAGCAUAUCAACCAUUUUAAGCAAACAGCAGGAAAUAUUAGCUCUUCAAUUUCUUGCUAGGAGCAACCAUCAGAGGAUGUGUGGGCUUGUGUGUUAAAAUAUCAACUUAAAUCAUCUGCCCUGUUAAAUAAAAUUGAUGAAUCCAAUUGGUGGAGUUUCACCUGAUGCCAGAUGCACAUUCUGGGCCACAUUCAUUAACAAACACUCACAAAAAUUGCAGAUAGAAAUCACAUGUGCAGACAUGAUUUAUAACAUACAUGUUCAACACCGUAAAACUGUGUUUAAUAAAUCUCAGCGUUUCUGUUGAAACUUGAUUCACUUGAUUUUUACAUAAAUUACAUUAAUAACACAACCUUUGGGUAAUACAGGUUUUAUUUCACCAAAACCUGUACAGGGAAUAUGUAUUUAAGAUAUAGAUGCAAAUGUAAUUAUGAAUUCAUCCUACUUGGCAUCUUCUGGCCCUAUUUAAUGUAGUGAUUAGCUAUUAACACAUUCUGUAGAUAGAGAGGGAGAAAUAUUAGAAGAGGGAGAGGAGGAGAAACAAAAAGAAGGAGAGGUGGAGAGAGGAGAGGGAUUGAAACAGAAAGGAGACGGGGAGAAAGAGAGGAGAGUGGGGAAAACAGAGAGAAGGAGAGGGGAAUGAGAGAGAGAGAUUAGAGUCACAGACACUCACUCAUCUGAGGGUUCUGUUGCCCAGGAGAUUCCAUCCACUCUGUAGGAGGAAGGAUUUCACACAGUACCUCCUGACCGUGUCCACAAUGACACCCUAAAUAGAGUCCUUGGAGCCUUGGUGAAAAGUAGUGCACAGUGUAGGGAAUAGGAUGCCAUUUGGGACUCAGACUCCGUCUCUAUUUGCUGUCAUGCCUAACUACCAACCAUCCCACCAAUCCAAGCUGAUGCAAAAUAGAGCCUAGCAUUUCUCAAAAUUGUCACAUACGUCACAUACCAAAGAGUAAACUAGGUCAAACGUGUAUGAGGCAGAUAUAAUGCUCAACUCCAGAGCAAAGGGAGAGGGAGAGAGAAAGGAGGAGAGGAGGAGGAAGAGAGGGUAGAGGGAGACAGAAAGGAGGAGAGGGGGAGGAAGAGAGGGGAGAGGGGGAAAGAGAAAAGAAGGAUAAAAGAGGAGGAGGGAAGAAGAGCGAUAUACUGUAGAGUGAGAUACAGUGAGUCAUAUAAAAAGACAUAGAAAGACAGAAAGACACAGAAACAAAGCGUAGUUACAGAAAUGAAAGGACAAAUUCCACUCCGUAUUUUUUUCAUUACACUAAUUAUCACCUCCAACAAUGUACCACCUACACCAGGGCUAAACCAACCUGUAGACCAGGUGUAGACCACCCUGUAGAACAGGUGAAGACCACCCUAUAGACCACCCUUUAGAUCUGGUGUAGACCAGGGUUAGACCAACCUGUAGACCAUGGCUAGACCAACCUGUAGACCAGGGCUAGACCAACCUGUAGACCAGGUGUAGACCAACCUGUAGACCAGGUGUAGACCAGAGUUAGACCAAUCUGUAGACCAGGGCUAGACCACAUUGUAGACCAGAGGUAGACCAGCCUGUAGACCACCCUGUAGACCAGGUGUAGACCCUCCCAUAGGCCAGUGGUAGAUGGGCCUGCAGACCAGGGGUAGAUCACCCUGUAGACCAGGUGUAGACCAGCCUCUAGACCAGGUGUAGACCAGCCUCUAGACCAUGGGAAGACCAGCCUGCAGAUCACCCCUUAGACCACCAUGUUGACCAGAGGUAGACCCUCCCGUAGACCAGUGUUAAUCUAACUUGUAGACUAGAAAGUAGACCACCCCAUAGAUCACGGGUAGACCAGACCCGGUUCUUAUGUCUGCAGGUACAGCAGGUUGUUUUUUCCAGUUGUGUGAAGCAUAAGUGCUAAACACAGCUUUGCCAUGUUUAGUCUGUACUCAUGGAGUCCUGCUCGGUUUAUACUCUUCAAACAUAUCAGAAAUGUAAACCAUUCAGUGAUUUAUAGACUAAAAGCACCACUUUAAAAUUUGAAAGAUUUAAGAACCGGAGUGAUAUGUUCUGUUCUCUUGGUCCUGGUUAACACUCUAGCAACAGCAUUCUUAAUGAGCUGCAGCUGUUUUACAGUCUUUUUGGGGAGUCCAGUUAAGAGCCCAUUACAAUAAUCAACCAUACUAGAGAUAAAAGCAUGGAUGAGCUUCUCUUGGUCUUAUUGGGACACCAAGCCUUUGAUUCUGGAUAUGUUUUUAACAUGAUACAAUGGUGGUGAAAACUUUGAUAUGACUGUUAAAUGUGAGGUCUGAGUCUAUCAGAACACCAAGAUUAGAGUCUCAUCUGCAUAGCUAUAUUAGUUAAUGUAGUUGUUCUGUACAAUUUGGUCCAGAGGUAGCAUAUAGAGAUUUAACCGAAGCAGUCUGAGAACUGAUUCCUGGGGAACUCUGCAUGUCAUAGCCGCCCUUUCAGAUUCAUGAUUGCCAGUGGUAACAAAGUAACUCCGGCCAUCUAGAUAUGAUCUGAACCAAUUAAGGACUGUCCCGGAGAGUCCUACCCAAUGUUCCAGCCUGUCUAUAAGUGUUCUAUGAUCUACAGUGUCAAAUGCUGCACUGAGAUCUAAUAGAACCAGAACUGUUAUUUUAUCUGAAUCAGUGUUCAGC
ensembl:lncRNA